rnacentral:lncRNA from 1 species
GAACUAUAGUCUGCUGAACUUGUUAUUGGGGUCUCGAUUUCACUAGACUCAGAGUUUCUUAAUUCUAACACCUUAAUUAAUUGGGCUUUUUCUUCGUAUGUGAUUUUCAAUUAUUUGAUUGUGUCUUUAACUUUACAUUCAUUAGCAUAAUGACCAUGUUUUUUAUAAUUCCAGCACUCAAUUUUUCUUUUGUCUGUAUUUUUCUUUUUCUUGUCUCUUUUCAGUGCUUUUGACCAAUUUUUGCGAGGGUUAAA